AUGCUUAAAAUAGAUCUUGCUAAAGCUUUUGAUCGAUUAGAAUGGAGCUUCAUUGUCUCUGCUCUUGCUCGUAAAGGGCUGCAUGAUCAUUUCAUUAAUCUGAUUCAUGCUUGCAUCUCUUCUCCUACUUUUUCUAUGCUUCUUAAUGGGCAACCUUCGCAUAAAUUUAAAAGUUCUCGAGGUAUCCGUCAAGGCUGUCCCAUGUCUCCUUAUUUGUUUGUUAUUGCUAUUAAUGAAUUAUCUAUUGCUCUCAAUGAAGCACUCUCUGAUAAUCAACUACAAGGAAUUUCGCUUGGUCCAAAUUGCCCUUCUAUUCAUUCUCUGUUGUUUGCAGAUGAUCUCUUGGUGUGUGGACAAGCUACUAUUCAGGAAGAAAAUUCUAUGGCCCGUCUCAUCCAUCAUUUCUGUUAUCUCUGGUCAAACACCAAACUGGGCUAA
rnacentral:rRNA from 1 species